CGGGGAGGAGGAAGCAGAUGAAACGCUGGAGAGAGGUUUCCCCUCUUUUCUCCAGCGUUGUCUGCUUCCUCCUCCCCA
rnacentral:pre_miRNA from 1 species